rnacentral:rRNA from 1 species
AGUGAACGCUGGCGGUAGGCCUAACACAUGCAAGUCGAACGGCAGCACAGUAAGAGCUUGCUCUUACGGGUGGCGAGUGGCGGACGGGUGAGGAAUACAUCGGAAUCUACUUUUUCGUGGGGGAUAACGUAGGGAAACUUACGCUAAUACCGCAUACGACCUAAGGGUGAAAGCAGGGGAUCUUCGGACCUUGCGCGAUUGAAUUAGCCGAUGUCGGAUUAGCUAGUUGGCGGGGUAAAGGCCCACCAAGGCGACGAUCCGUAGCUGGUCUGAGAGGAUGAUCAGCCACACUGGAACUGAGACACGGUCCAGACUCCUACGGGAGGCAGCAGUGGGGAAUAUUGGACAAUGGGCGCAAGCCUGAUCCAGCCAUACCGCGUGAGUGAAGAAGGCCUUCGGGUUGUAAAGCCCUUUUGUUGGGAAAGAAAAGCAGCAGGUUAAUACCCCGCUGUUCUGACGGUACCCAAAGAAUAAGCACCGGCUAACUUCGUG